AAAACCUCGCAAGAGGUUAGUAGAGUGGCAAACGGGUGAGUAACACGUGGGUGACCUGCCUUCGAGCGGGGGAUAACGUCCCGAAAGGGACGCUAAUACCGCAUGACAUCCUGUCUUUUAAGAGAUGGCGAUCAAAGCUGGGGAUCGCAAGACCUAGCACUCGAAGAGGGGCCCGCGUCCGAUUAGCUAGUUGGUGAGGUAACGGCUCACCAAGGCAACGAUCGGUAGCCGGCCUGAGAGGGCGGACGGCCACACUGGGACUGAGACACGGCCCAGACUCCUACGGGAGGCAGCAGUGGGGAAUUGUUCGCAAUGGGCGCAAGCCUGACGACGCAACGCCGCGUGGAGGAUGAAGACCUUCGGGUCGUAAACUCCUUUCGAUCGAGACGAAAUCCCCUGGGGUGAACAAUCCCAGGGGUUGACGGUACCGAGAGAAGAAGCCCCGGCUAACUCCGUGCCAGCAGCCGCGGUAAUACGGGGGGGGCAAGCGUUGUUCGGAAUUACUGGGCGUAAAGGGCUCGUUGGCGGCCAACUAAGUCAGACGUGAAAUCCCUCGGCUUAACCGGGGAACUGCGUCUGAUACUGGAUGGCUAGAGUUUGGGAGAGGGAUGCGGAAUUCCAGGUGUAGCGGUGAAAUGCGUAGAUAUCUGGAGGAACACCGGUGGCGAAGGCGGCAUCCUGGACCAACACUGACGCUGAGGAGCGAAAGCCAGGGGAGCAAACGGGAUUAGAUACCCCGGUAGUCCUGGCCCUAAACGAUGAAUGCUUGGUGUGGCGGGUAUCGAUCCCUGCCGUGCCGAAGCUAACGCAUUAAGCAUUCCGCCU
rnacentral:rRNA from 1 species